UUUUCUGUACUGCAAAUUAUUAUACUGUGUUAAUGUGGUUUUUUGUUUUGUUUUGUCAUGGUUAGUUGACUUUACAGCACAACAAUGGACCUUAUUAUUCCUUAUUUGUAUCCCUUAAGUGUCAUUAGUUUCUUUUUGAGAAUAAAAGUGUCACUCUUAAAAUAAUAACUUUUGAAGUAAAGGUUACCUUUUAAAGAAAUUAUUGAUUGAUUUUCCAGAGAGAGGAAGGGAGGAGGGCAGGGAAAGAGAGAAACAUCAUUUUUUUUGUUUCACUUAUUUAUGCAUUCCUUGGUUGAUUCUUGUAUGUACCCUGCCCAAGGAUUGAACAUGCAACUUUGAUGCAUUGGAAAAAUUAUG